rnacentral:rRNA from 1 species
AUCAUUACCGAGUGAGGGCGCGAGCCCGACCUCCAACCCCAUGUUGUCCAACCGUGUUGCCUCGGGGGCGACCCGGCCGCGCGCCGGGGCCCCCGGUGGACCCCUCAACCCUGCAUCUCAGCGUCGGAGUCACGAAAUCAAUCAAUCAAAACUUUCAACAACGGAUCUCUUGGUUCUGGCAUCGAUGAAGAACGCAGCGAAAUGCGAUAAGUAAUGUGAAUUGCAGAAUUCAGUGAAUCAUCGAAUCUUUGAACGCACAUUGCGCCCUCUGGUAUUCCGGAGGGCAUGCCUGUUCGAGCGUCAUUACACCACUCCAGCCUCGCUGGGCGUUGGGCACCGCGGCCUCCGCGCGCCUCAAAGUCUCCGGCCGAGCCGACCGUCUCCCAGCGUUGCGAUCAUCCACUCGCUGCGGGGGCGGGCCGGCGCCGCGCCGUCAAACCCUUUCACCCCAGGUUGACCUCGGAUCAGG